GACGAACGCUGGCGGCGUGCUUAACACAUGCAAGUCGAACGAUGAAGCUAGAGCUUGCUCUGGUGAAUUAGUGGCGAACGGGUGAGUAUCACGUGAGUAACCUGCCCCGAACUCUGGGAUAACUGCUGGAAACGGUAGCUAAUACUGGAUACGACCUACGAAGGCAUCUUCUGUAGGUGGAAAGAAUUUCGGUUCGGGAUGGACUCGCGGCCUAUCAGCUUGUUGGUGGGGGAAUGGCUCAACAAGGCGACGACGGGUAGCCGGCCUGAGAGGGUGACCGGCCACACUGGGACUGAGACACGGCCCAGACUCCGACGGGAGGCAGCAGUGGGGAAUAUUGCACAAUGGGCGCAAGCCUGAUGCAGCAACGCCGCGUGAGGGAUGACGGCCUUCGGGUUGUAAACCUCUUUUAGUAGGGAAGAAGCGAAAGUGACGGUACCUGCAGAAAAAGCACCGGCUAACUACGUGCCAGCCGCCGCGGUAA
rnacentral:rRNA from 1 species